rnacentral:misc_RNA from 1 species
CUAAAGUCCAAGAUUCUUGCAAAAUUGUUACUCCCUCCGUUUCACAAAGAAUGAUCUGGUUUGAUUUGACACGGAGUUUAAGAGUAUGAGUAAACUUUUGGAUAUUGUGGUGCUAAAUUAAAGUUAAGUGAAAUGUACAAAACUGCCCUUUGAUUUUGUUGCCUUAAACAUGUCACGUGGAAAGUUGUUAUCAAAAAAAGGAAGAUGUCAUUCUUUUUGAAACAUACUAAAAAGGAAAAAAGAAAAGAGGUCAUUGUUUUUGAAACGGAAAGAGUAUAAUAUUGAGAUUUCUC